UGGCAUCUCUUCUUUGGAGCUUGCUAUAAACUAUACAGUGUCUCCCAUCACAGAUAGUUUUAGUACUAUAGGAUUGGCCAGGCUGAACGGAUGAGGGGCAGAACUGUUUACAUCAUAGCCUAGAGCCUGCUGCAGUUUCUCCUAGAUUUACAACUGUCAGCUUAUGAUCUUCAUUAAAAGGAAUGUAGCAGUAUUCUCAAAUACGGUAUGUAAAGCUGGGUUUUCUUCACAUACUUCAAUCAAGGAACAUAUGAUAACAGACUGAGUAUGUAUAUGUGAGAAUCUAGUCGUCUCUUGUUAUCAGACACUUUAAAAAUGUGCAAAAAUAAAUGAUGCUGCUCUA